rnacentral:lncRNA from 1 species
AACCUUCGACAUCCACCAUCGUCAACCCCACUUUCGAGAAUCGGCUGGCUCGGCUCUGGCUCAAAUACCUGAGCAAUAUUGGGAUGAAGGCAAAGCAACAGCAAGCUAGAAAGUCCAAUGGUGGCAAGAACUCUAUCAAUGAAGUCCUCUUCGUUGAUGUUGCUACAAUGCUACUUAAGGAGGUCAUGGCAGUGGUGGGGCUAGUUGUGGAGGUGGGUUUCAACCCCAUCAGUGAGUGGCUUAAUAGGAGGGUAGAUGAGUUGGGGUAAUCAUGGUGAAAACCAAUAUGAAAGAGUGGGAAAAGAGAUUAUGGUACCAUAAGUUCUUAAUGGAACCACAGUCGAUCGAUGAUUGGUGAACGAUAAUAAGGGACGAGCUUCAGAGACCGAUGGUUGGAGAUCAGCAAAUGGUGAUGAGGGACUACCAAAUCGGACUUUGGACUAGUGGUGGAGGUAGAGAGACAAGA